AGCGAACGCUGGCGGCAGGCCUAACACAUGCAAGUCGAACGAACUCUUCGGAGUUAGUGGCGGACGGGUGAGUAACACGUGGGAACGUGCCCUUUGGUACGGAAUAACUCAGGGAAACUUGAGCUAAUACCGUAUGUGCCCUUCGGGGGAAAGAUUUAUCGCCAUUGGAGCGGCCCGCGUCUGAUUAGCUAGUUGGUGAGGUAAAGGCUCACCAAGGCUACGAUCAGUAGCUGGUCUGAGAGGAUGAUCAGCCACAUUGGGACUGAGACACGGCCCAAACUCCUACGGGAGGCAGCAGUGGGGAAUCUUGCGCAAUGGGCGAAAGCCUGACGCAGCCAUGCCGCGUGAAUGAUGAAGGUCUUAGGAUUGUAAAAUUCUUUCACCGGGGACGAUAAUGACGGUACCCGGAGAAGAAGCCCCGGCUAACUUCG
rnacentral:rRNA from 1 species